GUGGCCAAGAGCCUCUAGUACGCCUGCGCUUGCCCCCAUGGCCUGCCGGGAGUUGGAGUUCUACUCCCGCGUACAAAAGCCAGGCAGCGGCCAAGAGCCAAGGAGGGAAAAGAACAAAAGAGUUAGAAGCCUGCAGGGCGGGGGCGGGGUGGCGCCCAGGACAACUCUCCCGGGCUCAGCUUGGCUGCCUGCCUCCUUCUGUAAGUGCUUUUUUCUUUCUUCACCUGGGACCCUCCAAAGGUUGGAAAGAGAAGAGAGGCUGGGAGCGGAUGGAAAGCAUGACUGCAUCUGAAGCCCCUGGGGGGAGUGGGGAAGAGGGAGUGGAAGGACAGUGGCUGAGGGGCUUCCUGUUGCAGCCUUCAGCUGGACUCAGGGUUGGGGUCACUGGAGGAGGAGGUGGCUUCCUGCUCCAUUGUUCAGGACUGCAGUGUUUCUUGGGAAUACUUACUGUAUGUGGGUUUUCAGUAACCAACUUGGAAAUCUGUAUUCGUUCCCAUGAUUCAGCAAACAAUGAAUACCUACUGUGUGCAAAGGCAGCAGUACAGCCUGUCAUCACUGGGCAAGAGGCCAGAAGAGCCAUUUGGUCAGGGUCUCCAAUUUAGGCUCUCAACAUUAUCUCUAAAUAAGGUUAGACAUGAUGUUGGAUCCACUGGCCGAUGUGAUCAAAGACCCUCCUUGUAUAUCCUUAAAGCUAUACUCUGUUAUCAGGCCACUGUGCCUGUGGAGCACUGUAAGUUCUUAUAUUUUAAUAAAUCUUAUAAUUAUCUUGUGAGCAGCACAAUUGUCAUAGUUUUUUGUAUCAAAAACAUGAACUUGCUAAACAUUUUAAAA